UGUUUUUUCUCUUCAGUGAUUUAAAGACCUUCACAAGAAUUGUCAAAACCAAAAGGAUAGAGAGAGGUUACCGGGUCUGAGCUGCAGCCUCAGUAGCAGCAAAGAGAUGCUCCUCUUUAGAUCUGCCUCUGCCUCCAGAACUUGUUGAUCUGUUUAUGGGUUAUGAUGUCUCCCUCAACCUCUCUUGAUUCAUAUCUUGGAGAUGGUGGAAGCAAUGGAGGAUGAGGCACCAAUCACUUCAAACUCAAAUUCUCAUACUCAUCCAUUAUCUGCUUUUUCAUAUUCCCACCAAGAACUUCAGCAUCACCAGAUACAACCAAAAGAUGGCACAUAGAUGC
rnacentral:lncRNA from 1 species